CCUACGGGAGGCAGCAGUGAGGAAUAUUGGUCAAUGGACGAGAGUCUGAACCAGCCAAGUAGCGUGAAGGAUGACUGCCCUAAGGGUUGUAAACUUCUUUUAUAUGGGAAUAAAAUGUUCCACGUGUGGGUUUUUGUAUGUACCAUAUGAAUAAGGAUCGGCUAACUCCGUGCCAGCAGCCGCGGUAAUACGGAGGAUCCGAGCGUUCUCCGGAUUUAUUGGGUUUAAAGGGAGCGUAGGUGGAUUGUUAAGUCAGUUGUGAAAGUUUGCGGCUCAACCGUAAAAUUGCAGUUGAAACUGGCAGUCUUGAGUACAGGAGAGGUAGGCGGAAUUCGUGGUGUAGCGGUGAAAUGCUUAGAUAUCGCGAAGAACUCCGAUUGCGAAGGCAGCAUACUGGACUGCAACUGACACUGAGGCUCGAAAGUGUGGGUAUCAAACAGGAUUAGAUACCCGAGUAGUC
rnacentral:rRNA from 1 species